rnacentral:rRNA from 1 species
GAACGCUGGCGGCGUGCUUAACACAUGCAAGUCGGAUGUGCCCGCAAGGGUGCAUGGCAGACGGGUGAGUAACGCGUGGGGAACCUACCUCUUCGUGGGGAAUAACGCUCCGAAAGGAGUGGUAAUACCGCAUGAGACCUUUGGCUGGGAUGCUGGAGGUGAAAGCUGGGGAUCGAAAGACCUAGCGCGAGGAGAGGGUCCUGCGUCUGAUUAGCUAGUUGGUGGGGUAACGGCCUACCAAGGCGACGAUCAGUAGCCGGCCUGAGAGGGUGAUCGGCCACACUGGAACUGAGACACGGUCCAGACUCCUACGGGAGGCAGCAGUGGGGAAUUUUGCGCAAUGGACGAAAGUCUGACGCAGCAACGCCGCGUGGGUGAUGAAGGUCUUCGGAUUGUAAAACCCUGUCGUCGGGGACGAAGGUGGGGAGGUUAACAGCCUCUUUGCUUGACGGUACCCGGAGAGGAAGCCCCGGCUAACUCUGUGCCAGCAGCCGCGGUAAUACAGAGGGGGCAAGCGUUAUUCGGAAUUAUUGGGCGUAAAGGGCGCGUAGGCGGUGAUUUAAGUCGGAUGUGUAAUCCCCGAGCUCAACUUGGGAACUGCAUCCGAGACUGGAUCGCUGGAGUGCUGGAGAGGGUGGUGGAAUUCCUCGUGUAGCGGUGAAAUGCGUAGAGAUGAGGAGGAACACCAGUGGCGAAGGCGGCCACCUGGACAGUAACUGACGCUGAGGCGCGAAAGUGUGGGGAGCAAACAGGAUUAGAUACCCUGGUAGUCCACGCUGUAAACGAUGAACACUUGGUGUGGAGGGAGUUGACCCCUUCCGUGCCGGAGCUAACGCGAUAAGUGUUCCGCCUGGGGAGUACGGUCGCAAGGCUGAAACUCAAAG